rnacentral:hammerhead_ribozyme from 1 species
AUCCAUCUAACGCGUCCCAAAUAGGACGAAACUGGCGUCCUGGAU